rnacentral:lncRNA from 1 species
CUGAAAUGCAGUCGACUUCAGCGUUUGAUAGUUCAUUGAUAACAUUCUGGCGUAUCACAAACAAACAACUUGUUACGUCUCAUUUCAUUGGCCGAAAGAUUUAAAUACAACAACAAUGUAAUAAGUGUGCACGUGAAUUGACACAGGUGACCGACAAUGGAAUUUACUAUGUUACUACGAACGUAAAAACAAUGAUUUGUAUAGUUUACAAACCUUUGGUCAAAAGAAAUAAAUAAAUGUUUUAUUAACUUCAAAAAGUGGGGUCGAAAUAUUAUACUGAUAGUUAUUAACUUCAAAUAGUGGGGUCGAAAUAUUAUACUUAUAGU